GACGAACGCUGGCGGCGUGCUUAACACAUGCAAGUCGAACGAAGUGGCGAACGGGUGAGUAACGCGUAAUAAACCUGCCCUUCAGAGGGGGACAACAGUUGGAAACGACUGAUACUACCGCAUACGGAAGGAGGGGAUUGAGGCUGAGUAGCGAGUUGGAGGGGUACAGGCCCACCAAGGCGAUGAUAAGUAGCCGGUCUGAGAGGAGGAACGGCCACAUUGGGACUGAGACACGGCCCAGACUCCUACGGGAGGCAGCAGUGGGUAAUCUUCCGCAAUGGACGAAAGUCUGACGGAGCAACGCCGCGUGAGUGAUGACGGCCUUCGGGUUGUAAAGCUCUGUUAAUCGGGACGCGGUACCGGAAUAGAAAGCCACGGCUAACUACGUGCCAGCAGCCGCGGUAAUAC
rnacentral:rRNA from 1 species